AUAACGGUCCUAAGGUAGCGAAAUUCCUUGUCAGGUAAGUUCUGACCCGCACGAAAGGCGUAACGAUUUGGGCGCUGUCUCAGCUGUAGACUCGGUGAAGUCUUAGUACCUGUGAAGAUGCAGGUUACCCGCGACUAGACGGAAAGACCCCAUGGAGCUUUACUGUAGCUUGAUAUUGGACUUUGAUGCAAGAUGUACAGGAUAGGUAGGAGACUGAGAGACAUGCACGCCAGUGUGUGAGGAGUCAAUGUUGGGAUACUACUCUUCUUGUAUUGGAGUUCUAACCGGAUGCCAUGGAACUGGCAACGGGACAGUGUCAGGUGGGCAGUUUGACUGGGGCGGUCGCCUCCCAAAGAGUAACGGAGGCGCCCAAAGAUACCCUCAGCUUGGAUGGAAAUCAAGCGCAGAGUGCAAAGGCAUAAGGGUGUUUGACUGCGAGACCUACAAGUCGAGCAGGGACGAAAGUCGGGCUUAGUGAUCCGGCGGUGCUGAAUGGAAAGGCCGUCGCUCAACGGAUAAAAGCUACCCUGGGGAUAACAGGCUGAUCUCCCCCAAGAGUUCACAUCGACGGGGAGGUUUGGCACCUCGAUGUCGGCUCGUCGCAUCCUGGGGCUGAAGUAGGUCCCAAGGGUUGGGCUGUUCGCCCAUUAAAGCGGUACGCGAGCUGGGUUCAGAACGUCGUGAGACAGUUCGGUCCCUAUCUGUCGUGGGCGUAGGAAGUUUGAGAAGAUCUGUCCUCAGUACGAGAGGACCGGGAUGGACAUAUCAAUGGUGCACCAGUUGUCACGCCAGUGGCACAGCUGGGUAGCUAAAUAUGGAAGGGAUAAACGCUGAAGGCAUCUAAGUGUGAAACCCACUUCAAGAUGAGACUUCCCAUUACGCAAGUAAGUAAGACCCCUUAAAGACGAUAAGGUUGAUAGGUCAGGAGUGUAAGCAUGGCGACAUGUUCAGCGGACUGAUACUAAUAGGUCGAGGACUUAACCUA
rnacentral:rRNA from 1 species